GCCAGCUUAGCUCAGUGGUAGAGCAAUACUUUCGUAAAGUAGAGGUCCCGGGUUCAAGUCCCGGAGCUGGCUCCA
rnacentral:tRNA from 1 species